UCCAAGAAUUUCACCUCUGAC
rnacentral:siRNA from 1 species